GGCUCAGUAGGCAACUGGCAGACCACUUUGGCUUAGAACCAGAGAUGCUGUGAGUUCGAAUCUCACCUGAGCUA
rnacentral:tRNA from 1 species